rnacentral:lncRNA from 1 species
CAAACUUGAAGUUUCCACGCAUUUUUAGAAGUUAUUAAUAUAAGUGAUAAAUUGAUGAGUCAGAGCACUGGGGCAUUCUUCACAGGAUAAAACCUCCCUUUAUGAAAUUAAAUCCUACUAAUUCAGAUCUUUCAUUUUAAUUUUAAGGAAUUCUGAAUUCGUGUAAUUACAUGCUCCCAUCAAAUCCACAUCUCCUCAAUUCCACAAGAAAAAUUACUCCUAUCUCUGAUGUCAGUAACAGACUUCCCAUAUACACUGUUGGGAAUGGAGAUAGCGACCCUGAUCCUGAGAAACAGGAGUCACCCAGACCAUCCUAUCCAGCACCUGUGGCCUGGGGAAUCCCAAGUUUCCAAAGGAAUCCAAAAGUGGUCCCACAGGGGGAAAAUGAUAGAAAUGUUGCCUGGCAGUCCCCUAAAUUUUGGAAGAAUCCAAAAUUGGCCCCACAGGGAGAAAACCACACUGAUGAUAGCGACCCUGAUCCUGAGAAACAGGAGUCACCCAGACCAUCCUAUCCAGCACCUGUGGCCGGGGGAAUCCCAAGCUUCCAAAGGAAUCCAAAAGUGGUCCCACAGGGGGAAAAUGAUAGAAAUGUUGCCUGGCAGUCGUUUUGGACGAGACGAAAAGUGGCCCCACAGGUGAAAAAAUUACCUAUGGUAAUACAAACAAGAUUGUUAUUUCAUAUCUCCUCUGUAUUCCUUCCAUGCAUUUUCACGCAUAAAUAUUUUCUUUUAAUUCUUUUUC